rnacentral:rRNA from 1 species
UACGAAGGGGGCUAGCGUUGCUCGGAAUGACUGGGCGUAAAGGGCGCGUAGGCGGCCAGCACAAGUCAGUUGUGAAAUCUCCGAGCUUAACUCGGAAAGGUCAACUGAUACUGUGCGGCUAGAGUGCGGAAGGGGCAACUGGAAUUCUUGGUGUAGCGGUGAAAUGCGUAGAUAUCGAGAGGAACACCUGCGGCGAAGGCGGGUAGCUGGGCCGACACGUGACGCUGAUGCGCGAAAGCCAGGGGAGCGAACGGG